UAGAAACAUCAGAGUGGUCUCUG
rnacentral:snRNA from 1 species